UACGCAGGGGGCAAGCGUUGUCCGGAAUCAUUGGGCGUAAAGAGCGUGUAGGCGGUCCGGUAAGUCGGCUGUGAAAGUCCAGGGCUCAACCCUGGGAUGCCGGUCGAUACUGCCGGACUAGAGUUCGGAAGAGGCGAGUGGAAUUCCCGGUGUAGCGGUGAAAUGCGCAGAUAUCGGGAGGAACACCUAUGGCGAAGGCAGCUCGCUGGGACGUUACUGACGCUGAGACGCGAAAGCGUGGGGAGCAAACAGG
rnacentral:rRNA from 1 species